rnacentral:rRNA from 1 species
UUGAAAGGGAAACGAUUGAAGUCAGUCAUGCUGGUGGGAAUCAACUUAGGGGAAACUCUGGGUGCACUUCUUCGCUUGGCAGGUCAACGUCGAUUUUGAAUGUCAUAAAAUAAUUGGGGAAGGUAGCUCCUUCGGGAGUGUUAUAGCCCUUGAUAGAUGUGAUGUUUGAGGUCGAGGAUUGCAACGGAUANCUUUGGGGCUACCUGUCUGGUCUCUGAUCGUUGCUCUGGUGCCGAAAGCUUGCUUACGGUUANCAAAGUCGAUGGUCAAUAGGUUAGAACGGGUUAAAUUCGUUAAGGAUGUUGACGUA